UGGGGAAUUUUGGACAAUGGGGGAAACCCUGAUCCAGCCAUCCCGCGUGUGCGUUGAAGGCCUUCGGGUUGUAAAGCACUUUUGGCAGGAAAGAAACGUCAUGGGUUAAUACCCCGUGAAACUGACGGUACCUGCAGAAUAAGCACGGGCUAACUACGUGCCAGCAGCCGCGGUAAUACGUAGGGUGCAAGCGUUAAUCGGAAUUACUGGGCGUAAAGCGUGCGCAGGCGGUUCGGAAAGAAAGAUGUGAAAUCCCAGAGCUCAACUUUGGAACUGCAUUUUUAACUACCGGGCUAGAGUGUGUCAGAGGGAGGUGGAAUUCCGCGUGUAGCAGUGAAAUGCGUAGAUAUGCGGAGGAACACCGAUGGCGAAGGCAGCCUCCUGGGAUAACACUGACGCUCAUGCACGAAAGCGUGGGGAGCAAACAGG
rnacentral:rRNA from 1 species